rnacentral:rRNA from 1 species
AUUGAACGCUGGCGGCAUGCCUAACACAUGCAAGUCGAACGGAGGGCUUCGGCCCUUAGUGGCGGACGGGUGAGUAACGCGUAGGGAUCUGCCCCGCAGUGGGGGACAACCUGGGGAAACUCAGGCUAAUACCGCAUACGCUCCAUGGAGGAAAGCGGGGGACCUUCGGGCCUCGCGCUGCGGGAUGAACCUACGUCCGAUUAGCUAGUUGGUGGGGUAAGGGCCCACCAAGGCGACGAUCGGUAGCUGGUCUGAGAGGACGGCCAGCCACACUGGGACUGAGACACGGCCCAGACUCCUACGGGAGGCAGCAGUGGGGAAUAUUGGACAAUGGGCGCAAGCCUGAUCCAGCAAUGCCGCGUGGGUGAAGACGGCCUGCGGGUUGUAAAGCCCUUUAGGCGGGGAAGAACGGCCGGGCGCAAAUAGCGCGCGGCUCUGACGUUACCCGCAGAAUAAGCACCGGCUCAAUC